rnacentral:lncRNA from 1 species
GGGGACCUGGAUUUAACUCUUCUUUUUGAGAUGCAAAUCCACUAUUCUGGAGAGUGCAAUAACUACUAAUCAACUGGCUAAUGAAUUGUUCAAAAUUUGAAUCACAACCAUUCAUACAGCCCAGAAAGGAAUGAUGUCAUGUUGACUGAGAACUGGCUAAAGGAUCAUAAAGAGGAGGAAUUCUCUCCAGCCUACUAAGUCAUCAAUAAAUAUUCUUGGAGUAUACAGAUCUGAAGUACUUAGGGAACACUCAAAAUCUUGGUUUGGCUUUCUUUUCAUCUCUACUGUUUCUCUUUCUGCAAAGGGAGGAUUUGUUCCAUUCUCAACAGAAUAAAUUCAUAAAUAACAGUGGAUCACAUUGUUUUAUAAAAUAGGUGUAGAAAUAUCCCACACAACCAUGCACAUAUAUUACUUUUCUUGGAAGAGAAUGUAAACACAACAGUAAAAAACGUUGAGGUAGUUCCAAUGAAGUUGCUCUUAUACUUGCCAGAAAAGGUGCCUCCAGACAAUUUCUGAUCAGUGUUAAGAAAAAAAUUUGCAAUUUAGGAGAAACAAUUCAUUUCAGUCCAUGAUGAUGUUAAAAAUAAGAGAUUUCCUAUCUGCUUAUUGAAUAAAGAUGACAUAUUUAUACA